AUUGAACGCUGGCGGCAUGCCUUACACAUGCAAGUCGAACGGCAGCACGGACUUCGGUCUGGUGGCGAGUGGCGAACGGGUGAGUAAUAUAUCGGAACAUACCCAGUAGUGGGGGAUAACUAUCCGAAAGGAUAGCUAAUACCGCAUACGAUCUGUGGAUGAAAGCAGGGGAUCUUCGGACCUUGUGCUAUUGGAAUGGCCGAUAUCUGAUUAGCUAGUUGGUAGGGUAAAAGCCUACCAAGGCGACGAUCAGUAGCUGGUCUGAGAGGACGACCAGCCACACUGGAACUGAGACACGGUCCAGACUCCUACGGGAGGCAGCAGUGGGGAAUUUUGGACAAUGGGGGCAACCCUGAUCCAGCAAUGCCGCGUGAGUGAAGAAGGCCCUCGGGUUGUAAAGCUCUUUUGUCAGGGAAGAAACGGAGUUCUCUAAUAUAGGAUUCUAAUGACGGUACCUGAAGAAUYAAGCACCGGCUAACUACGUGCCAGCAGCCGCGGUAAUACGUAGGGUGCAAGCGUUAAUCGGAAUUACUGGGCGUAAAGCGUGCGCAGGCGGUUUUGUAAGUCUGAUGUGAAAUCCCCGGGCUCAACCUGGGAACUGCAUUGGAGACUGCAAGGCUAGAGUGUGUCAGAGGGGGGUAGAAUUCCACGUGUAGCAGUGAAAUGCGUAGAGAUGUGGAGGAAUACCGAUGGCGAAGGCAGCCCCCUGGGAUAACACUGACGCUCAUGCACGAAAGCGUGGGGAGCAAACAGGAUUAGAUACCCUGGUAGUCCACGCCCUAAACGAUGUCUACUAGUUGUCGGGACUUAAUUGUCUUGGUAACGCAGCUAACGCGUGAAGUAGACCGCCUGGGGAGUACGGUCGCAAGAUUAAAACUCAAAGGAAUUGACGGGGACCCGCACAAGCGGUGGGAUGAUGUGGAUUAAUUCGAUGCAACGCGAAAAACCUUACCUACCCUUGACAUGGCAGGAAUCCCGAAGAGAUUUGGGAGUGCUCGCAAGAGAACCUGCACACAGGUGCUGCAUGGCUGUCGUCAGCUCGUGUCGUGAGAUGUUGGGUUAAGUCCCGCAACGAGCGCAACCCUUGUCAUUAGUUGCUACGAAAGGGCACUCUAAUGAGACUGCCGGUGACAAACCGGAGGAAGGUGGGGAUGACGUCAAGUCCUCAUGGCCCUUAUGGGUAGGGCUUCACACGUCAUACAAUGGUACAUACAGAGGGCCGCCAACCCGCGAGGGGGAGCUAAUCCCAGAAAGUGUAUCGUAGUCCGGAUUGUAGUCUGCAACUCGACUACAUGAAGUUGGAAUCGCUAGUAAUCGCGGAUCAGCAUGUCGCGGUGAAUACGUUUCCCGGGUCUUGUACACACCGCCCGUCACACCAUGGGNAGCGGGUUCUGCCAGAARUUAGG
rnacentral:rRNA from 1 species